AGGGGAGUCGCCAAGUCUGGCCUAAGGCACUGGUUUUUGACACCAGCAUUCGAAGGUUCAAAUCCUUCCUCCUCUGCCA
rnacentral:tRNA from 1 species